CGUUUUUUUAAAAGAAGGUCCAGCCUGCCCAGUGACCUAGUUCAACGGCCGCGGUAUCCUAACCGUGCGAAGGUAGCGUAAUCACUUGUUCUUUAAAUGAGGACUAGUAUGAAUGGCACCACGAGGGUUAAGCUGUCUCCUUUUUCUAAUCAGUGAAACUAAUCUCCCCGUGAAGAAGCGGGGAUUAUACUAUAAGACGAGAAGACCCUAUGGAGCUUAAAACAAAUUAACACUUGCUUCUAUUCAUUUUUACUCCUGAACUAACACAUAAAAUAUAGCAUCGUUGAUUAAUAGUUUUCGAUUGGGGUGAUCAUGGAGUAAAAACCAACCUCCACGACGAAAAGGAACACUUCCCUGAGCUAAAAGCUACAACUUUAAGCACUAAAAAAUUAACGCACUUUGACCCAAAUUUUUGAGCAACGAACCAAGUUACCCUAGGGAUAACAGCGCAAUCCAUUUCAAGAGCCCCUAUCGACAAAUGGGUUUACGACCUCGAUGUUGGAUCAGGGUAUCCCAGUGGUGCAGCCGCUACUAAAGGUUCGUUUGUUCAACGAUUAAAACCCUACGUGAUCUGAGUUCCAGACCGGA
rnacentral:rRNA from 1 species